rnacentral:lncRNA from 1 species
GUCUUUAUGGGUUUGAUUAGUUUUUUUCAGUGUGUCAUGGUGAUUUUGUUGGUACGGUCUUGUGUGGCUUUGGAGUCCUUUCGUGUUCUGAUGAAGGUCUUCUGGUUCAAUGAAACGUACUUUUAGAGGACCAUCCCAGCCCAUCUACUUCAGUGCUCAUGGCUUCCCAUCUCUUUGGAUGAGUGAUUCGAGUUUUUUUUAAACCUCUGAUGGUAGUUAAAUUCGUGCAGGGAUACGAGUGACGGUGUUGUUGUUCAAGUCUAAUUGCAGUCUCUUAACUAAAGCAUUGACAUUAUUUCGUGCUGCAAAGAUUGAUAUAAUGAAGAAGAUAUUUUUAUGAGAUUUCAUUGUAAUUCUUAAUUAUAAUAGAAGUUGCUUUGUGAUUUCUUGGGUCUAUGAUUCAGAGCAUUGUAAAUGUAAUUAUUAUGAAUUUUGAAUAAAUGUGUAGAUUUUUUUUUUAAAAUGAGGCGGCAGAGAAGAAUAAGGUGGUACCCGGAAAAAAAAAGAGUAAGGUG